rnacentral:rRNA from 1 species
GCGUGGAUGAGGCAUGCAAGUCGAACGGAAUUGAGUGCAAACUCAAUUCAGUGGCGGAAGGGUUAGUAAUGCAUAGGUAACGUGCCGCAACCCUGGGGAUAACACUUGGAAACGAGUGCUAAUACCGAAUGUCGUUCUUCCUCGGCAUCGAGAAAGAAUGAAAGCGGGGGACCCUGAGAGGGGCCUUGCGGGUUGUGAGCGGCUUAUGUGGUAUCAGCUUGUUGGUGAGGUAACUGCUCACCAAGGCUGAGACGCCUAGGCGGACUGGGAGGUCGAUCGCCAACACUGGGACUGAGAACUGCCCAGACUCCUACGGGAGGCUGCAGUCGAGAAUCUUUCGCAAUGGGCGCAAGCCUGACGAAGCGACGCCGUGUGUGUGAUGAAGGUUUUAGGAUCGUAAAACACUUUCGCCCGUGGGCUAGGUUUGCUUUCCAAUAAAAAGCAAACUUGAGAGUAGCGGGUAAAGAAGCGCCGGCCAACUGCGUGCCAGCAGCUGCGGUAAUACGUGGGGCGCAAGCAUUAAUCGGAUUUAUUGGGUGUAAAGGGUGCGUAGGCGGCUAUGCAAGUUGGAUGUAAAAUUCCGGGGUUCAUCUCCGGGCUGCAUUCAAAACUGCAUAGCUAGAGUGUAAGAGGGGAAAGCGGAAUUCCACAAGUAGCGGUGAAAUGCGUAGAUAUGUGGAGGAACACCGGUGGCGAAGGCGGCUUUCUGGAUUAUUACUGACGCUGAGGCACGAAAGCAUGGGGAGCAAACAGGAUUAGAUACCCUGGUAGUCC